rnacentral:misc_RNA from 1 species
UUUCCGUAGGUGAACCUGCGGAAGGAUCAUUGACACACAUCCGACGAACACCGCGAACCGUGGACGUACCGCGAGGGACCGCGCCCGGAGGCGCGGUCGCCCCCGCCUCACCCCCGCGCCCGAGCCGGGAGACAGUGGGCGAGGUGUCGGGCCGGGGCCGCCCGUAGGCCGCGCGGUGGGGUGCGGGGAGAGGGACGCCUCCCCCCCCCACGUCCGUCGCGAGGGCGUCCCCCCUCCUCCGUGCCUCUCGGCACGGGGCCGCUCGAUAAACCUUCCGCCCCCCCCUCGGGGGGGUGCGCGAGGCGCACACAGAACAACCGACGCCGGACUGAGAUGCCUCCCUCCGGGAGGAUCGAAAUACGUAGCAACGACUCUCAGCAACGGAUAUCUUGGCUCAU